rnacentral:rRNA from 1 species
GGGUUGACCCGGGCGAAAGGGACCGAAAUAUAGUAGGGAAGUCCGUGAUGCUCGGAGGCGAGAAAAGCUCAUGUGUAUACUAAGGUGCCCGUACCGCAAACCGACACAGGUAGAUGAGGAGAGAAUCCUAAGGCCAACGGGAGAAGGGUUGUUAAGGAACUCGGCAAGAUGACCCCGUAACUUCGGAAGAAGGGGAGCCUCGAAAGAGGCCGCAGUGAAUAGGCCCAAGCAACUGUUUACCAAAAACACAGAUUUAUGCUAAAUCGAAAGAUGACGUAUAUGAGCUGACGCCUGCCCGGUGCCGGAAGGUUAAGAGGAGAUGUCAACCGCAAGGUGAAGCAUUGAAUUGAAGCCCCGGUAAAACGGCGGCCGUAACAAUAACGGUCCUAAGGUAGCGAAAUUCCUUGUCAGGUAAGUUCUGACCCGCACGAAAGGCGUAAUGAUUUGGGCACUGUCUCAACAGCCCGCCCGGCGAAAUUGUAGUACUGGUGAAGAUGCCAGUUACCCGCAACUAGACGGAAAGACCCCAUGGAGCUUUACUGCAGCUUAAUACUGGAAUUCGGUAAAUCAUGUACAGGAUAGGUGGGAGACAGGGAAGCAUUGGCGUCAGCCAGUGUGGAGUCGCUGGUGGGAUACCACUCUUGAUUUGCUGGGUUUCUAACCUGCGGCCGUGAAUCCGGUCGGGGGACACUGUUAGGCGGGCAGUUUGACUGGGGCGGUCGCCUCCAAAAGAGUAACGGAGGCGCUCAAAGGUUGGCUCAGCACGGACGGAAAUCGUGCAAUGAGUGUAAACGUAUAAGCCAGCCUAACUGCGAGACCGACGGGUCGAGCAGUAACGAAAGUUGGAGUUAGUGAUCCGGUGGUAUGUGAGUGGAAAUGCCAUCGCUCAACGGAUAAAAGCUACCCUGGGAUAACAGGCUGAUCUCCCCCAAGCGUCCACAGCGACGGGGAGGUUUGGCACCUCGAUGUCGGCUCGUCACAUCCUGGGGCUGUAUUCGGUCCCAAGGGUUCGGCUGUUCGCCGAUUAAAGUGGCACGCGAGCUGGGUUCAGAACGUCGUGAGACAGUUCGGUCCCUAUCUGUUGCGGGCGAAAGAGAUUUGAAGGGAGCUGUCCUUAGUACGAGAGGACCGGGAUGGACGUACCUCUGGUGCACCAGUUGUCCUGCCAAGGGCAUAGCUGGGUAGCUAUGUACGGACGAGAUAAACGCUGAAAGCAUCUAAGCGUGAAACUCCCCCUAAGAUGAGAUCUCUCAUCCUUCAUGGAGUAAGGGCCCAGGAAGACUACCUGGUUGAUAGGCAAGAGGUGGAAGCGCAGUAAUGUGUGUAGCUGACUUGUACUAAUAGCCCGAGGGCUUGACCG